UCAAAGUGGUAAAUUCUAAGCAUAUGCAUUCAACUCUUGAACUAGCAUGUAGGAAUGUUAACUAAAAUUGCAUCAAAUCAUAAUAUAACAUCAAUCCAUACAAGAUUGGUUAGUGUUUUCAACCCUAACCCCAACAAAGUACUACUCACUCAUAAUUACAUAAACAAACUUCAUAAUCAAAUUAAACAUCAAAAUAGAUCUAGAGUUUAAGAGAGAGAGAGUUGGCUUAGUGGUGUGUUGAUUGAUCCCCAAGCUCACGUCUUGGUGGUACGUGGUGGUGAUGAAGGUGAUUUCCUCUCCUUCUUGCUCAUGUUGUUUGAUGACAAGAGAUGGUGAAGCUUGAUCUAUGCUUUGUGUGAAUAGGUGGAGUGGAUGGAGAAAAUGGUAUAGAUAAGAGAAUGGAGAAAUGGUGUAGUGGUGGUGGUGUUAAUGGAGGUUUGGGUAAGAGAUGGUGGUAGUGAUGGAGGAGAUAGAGUAGAUUGGGGGAGGAAGAGGAAAAAGAUGGGUUUGGAUUUUGGGAGAGGGAGAUGGAGGUUUUGUGGUGGAAAAGAGAGAAAAAGGUAGAGAGUGGUGAAUGGGUGGAUGAUGAAUGUUGUAGUGGAUAGAUGUAUGUUUAUUAUAUAGAAGAAAGAUAAGUGAAAAUGGGGGAAUGAGAAAGUCAAAACAGCCCCCUUCCCUAAUUCAACUGUAAGGGAGAAGGAAGAGUGUGAGAGUGUCCAUGAAUUGCCAAAAAAAAGAUAAAAAUGUAGGGAAAUAAUCGCAUAGGUUAGAGUAGGCAAUGAUGAUGUUUAAAGCAUGGUGAUGUCUAUUAUCCAAAGAGUAAUAGAAUGAAUUUCAUGUUGUUACUCAAUCACCAUUAAUCUCCUUGCUCCUCCUUUAUGGUGACUGGAAAAGACAUGACACCACCAAAAGAGGUGGUGAGCCGUCAUUUGUGCAGUCAAUAGUGGUGGUUCGCCGGAAUCCGAAAAUCUACGUUUUGCUUCACAUUGGACCGUCAUUUUUCCUAGCUCCGAUUCUCCAUGUUAAUGCCAAAAAUGCAUAUUUUCAUCACUCUUGCAAUAUUCCUAGAUAAAUAGAAAAUGAUUUAGUGAAAGAAAAAAUGAACUCAAAAACAAGGCAAAUUCAAUAUUUAGGGGAAUGAAAAUGUGUGUAAAUUAUGGUCUAACACAUACCCAAUGGACUAAUCGAGAUCACAUCACAGGGACCAAUUGCCACUAAUCUUUUCAAAUCUUUCAUGUACUCUCAUUUCGAUGGGAUCAAAUGGUAGCCUUAUCACAAGUAAUUGUUAUCAUGUAACAAUAAUUAAGAGACUGAAGAAAGAAUAAACCCCUCAGAAUUCAGGGCAGGACAGCAUGAAACCUUAGUCAAAAAUGGUUCCUCAACCUCAAGAAAAGAGGGAGCACCAAUAUUUUGACAUGAGUUUUCACGCAUAUCUCGCUCAGAUUCUUACUGGUUUCUUCUUCAUCAUAUUUAAAGGACUAAUCGAGAUCAAAUCACAGGGACCAAUUGCCACUAAUCUUUUCAAAUCUUUCAUGUACCCUCAUAUCUAUGGGAUCAAAUGGCAGCCUUAUCAAGUAAUUGUUACCAUGUAACAAUAAUUAAGGGAUUGAUGAAAGAAGAAACCCUCAGAAUUGGGCAGGACAACAUGAACCUUAGUCAAAAAUAGUUCCUCAACCUCAAGAAAAGAGGGAGCACCAAUAUUUUGACAUGAGAUUUCAGGCAUGUCUCGCUCAGAUUCUUACUGGUUUCUUCUUCAUCAUACCCAAGGGACUAAUCGAGAUCACAUCACACGAACCAGUUGCCACUAAUCUUUUCAAAUCUUUCAUGUACCCUCAUUUUGAUAGGAUCAAAUGGCAGUCUUAUCACAAGUAAUUGUUACCAUGUAACAAUAAUUAAAGGACUGAUGAAAGAAGCAAUUGUUACCAUGAAUGUUGUUUAGCAGUGUUUCUUGUGAUCGGAGAACCCCUCAGAAAAAUCUUAGGGGUUACUUGAAAGAAGAAAGAUAGAACUAAAAGAAGUAACCCCUUAGAAACCAUGAAAGUUAUGCAGGGUUACUUGUGAUCGAAACCGUAAAAAUCUUAGUGAUCAGAACUUCCGUUUUCUUCCCAUGACGGGCGGUCCUCUCCGGCGAGCUACUCUUUCUCCAAUGUUGGCCAUACUAAACCCUAAACGCUCAAAAAUAUAUAGAAGUAUAGCACCAAAAGAAAAAGAAAUAUAUAUUUUUUUUUUGGUCAAGAAAAGAAAAAUAUAUAUAGAGAAGUAGGGAUCAAUAUAUAUACUGUAAUAUCGAUGAGUAAAGACAAUAGAAACUCACAUCAAUUAGGGUUCUCACAUCCUAUUAUAUGAUUCUGUUAGGAUCAGAAUCCAUUUAUAAAAGGAAAACUAGGAAAUCAAAGGAAAUAAACUAAACAACAUUCAUAUCACUUAUCCAUAUCUAAUAAGAGAAGUUUACAGCCUUUAUAUAUCCUACAAAUCUAAAAUAACUACUCUAAUAACUACCCUAUUUGGACCGAAUGGGCCUUGAGUUUACUACAACAAGUCUGGGCUAGGGGUCAUCAUUUGGCCCGCGGGCCUAAAAGCCCGUGGGCAGCCCAUCGUCCGGAAUGGCCAAAGCUUGGCCGACCCAUAGAAAAGCCCAUCUCGGCCCGGCCCUUAGGGCAUAAGGCCGGGCUAGGGCGGAGGGUUCAAAACCUCGGCCCUGCCUGUUACAUGCCCAUCAAAGCCCGCCCGGCCUGACCCUAAAAAGCCCUUUCAAUUGUUUUAUAAAUAUUUUUAUGGAGUUAUUAGUUAAAUAUGUGAACUAAUUAAUGCAUUAAGUCAUAUUUUAUUUUGAUUUUUUAUUACAUUUAGUUUAAUCAUUAACAAAUCUUAACUUUUUUUUUAUAAUUUUUUUUUUAUUUGAUAAAAUUCUAUUAGAUAUAUGUAUAUAAUAGGCCGACCGGCCUGGCCUAUCUAAAAAGUCCGACUCGACCCAUCUAAAAAAGCCGGCCUGACCUGGCCUAUAAGCCUGUAAGGCCUGGACAUGCGGGUUUUGAUAAUUUUUUAAGUUAGUCCCAUCCUGGCUCGGCUCUAAUAAAAAAUAAAAUAAAUAAAUUAAAUAAAAAAAACAUAAUUGAGGCCCGACCCGAGCCCCUAGCCAGGCGGGCGUUUUUUGAUGAUCAGGCUAUGCCCAGUACAUAAAAAGGCUGUGAAAUACAUCACCUACGUACAUAUGUGAAAGAGGAAUACGAGUUAGUAUCCUAACAGAUUCAGUCACGUUCUCUUCAGUGGGAUUGAGUUGGGCAGUUCUAUCUCAAUUACAGGGAUUUUAACGUACCAAUUAUAUUUAAGGAAACAGAGAGAGUGGUUAAAAAGGGAGAAGGCCCAAGUCCAAGACCCUAGCCCAACUAGAUCCCAGCAGCCGCAAGAAUGGCCGAAAACUAAUCGGAAGAAAGUAGAAACUAAAUAUAUAGUAAUAAAUAAAUUUCCUUUCAGCAGAUGUGCCCUUAAUACUGGAGACAAAGAAAUUUACCGGCACUCUUUAUCAUUACACAAUUAACCAACUGAGAUAUAUAGCACAAAACAUGAAAACUACACGGUGGUCGACGGAUCCGAAAUCCCAUCAUGCAUGAACUUCACUAAUAGUUGAAGCUAGACUUGCUUGCUGUAGCACUCUUCUUAGUGUAGACAGACUUGGUGACCUUGAGCUGUGUUUUGUACUCGGUGGUGUAUCCCUGAGUUUUGUCGACAUACUUGUCUAUCGAGGUGUACUUGGCCUCUUGUUUGUAGCCGGACUGCCCACUGCGGUUGUCCACGAACUCUCCUUCCUUGUAACUUUUAGUGAAGUUACUUGAAGCCCCACAGUACUCGUCGUUGUACGAUGACUUCACCUGGCUUUGCAUUUCGUCGGCGUUGAUGUUUCUCGCCGGAGCAACAGUUAUGAAGCCGCAAUAAGCCUUUUUCGUCAUUCUGUAACUAUAUGAAGACGUGGGUUGUGAUCAUAUGCAAAGAGGGUCUUGUCUUUUAUAUGGUAACAAGUCGGAACAUGGAUAUUAACUAUGAUUUAUGAAGAUGUGGGAAUCAAGAACGUAUAUUGUGAGGAGAGGAGGGGUCUUUUAUCUGUUUGUUUUGAGAACAAAGGUGUAAAUGUCAUUAUCGGUUAUGGUGAAAGAGACCAUCCAACUUUCCCAGUUCUUCAGGUGAGAAAGGAGGGGAAGUUGUUUAACCAAUACUAAUACUAAUGCAUGUCAUACAAGUGUUGUUUUAAGGUUUUACAGUGCAAUGUUUUUUCGUAUACCUAUUUUCAGUUUGUCCUUUAAUGGACUCCUAAAUCUCAAGAAUAAUAAGUACCAUUUAUAGUGCAAACCUAAAGGCUAAAGCUAUGAUUUCUUUAAUUUUUUGAAAUCCUGAAAAAAGUGAAUUAUCAUACUGAACAUAUAUAAGUUCAAUUGUCUGAUAGGAAUUUGCUGCCAGCAGAUAAAGGUAGCGAUCUUUGAAUUGAAACGGCCGGCAUAAAUGCAAAUAUGAUGAUUUAGCAGCUAAUAAGAAUAUAGAGAAACUAUGGUUCGUGCAUGCAGCAACAAAUGAGUUCAAAAACCAAAGCAUGUCUCGACUUUAAUUUUGGUGCUGGCUUUUGCUGGGUCUGUUUUAUCAUUGCUGGGUAUAACCAUUACAAAACAAGGAUGGGUUUGGAAAAUACGUAUAAUCUUUUACGCCUUAGGUGUAUUUAGAUAUUUGUGGGUAUUUAGAAGAACGAAAAGAGAUCGAUGCUGUAGAGCAAGACUAGUUGUAUAACAUUAAGAAAACAUUACUAAGAAAAAAAGGAUUACACAUAGUAAACAAAAGCACGUACGUAACAUAAAUAGAUAUAGAGCAGUGGAUACCAUAGAUCUACUACAGUCUAUUCCCAGGACUCUAACCCAAAGAGACUUCCGUUAAUUCCUUCCCCUACAUCAUUGGAGAUACACUAUUAAUUAACCAUGCCCGCAAUUUGGACAACAGCAUCGGCAGCUGCAACAACAGGUGAAAGAAGAGGUAUGAGCGUUCCGACUCCGAGCACUGGAAGAAUAACAGCAGCUACUGAUGCAGCAGCUGAAAUCCAACGGAAAACCGAAACAAAAGCCCGAAACCACGACAUUGUGACUCAAGGACGACUUCAACUUUACACUCUAGAUUAGUAGACUGAUAGUGAGUCUGAAACUGUAGGAAAGGCUGUUGAAUGUAGGAGGUUUGCGCACUAUAUUUAUAGCAGGUAAUUUAGAUGGGAACCUGUGCAGCUGAGCUCUAUCGGUCUCUUCGUUUAGUGUACCUCUAAUGAACACAUUUAAUUACUUCGAUUCUUUAAAGAUUAACGGCAUGCGCGCGCAUGCGUCUUCAUGCACUGUGUUUUGGAAAUAUGAGACUUUCAUGACAUAAUUACUGCUUCUAGUUUAUUGUGAACGUCAUAAUAUUAUAUUUGUUGCCUUACCCACAGUUUUAUUUCCCAAUUUCCUCUCUUGUUUUUCCAAUUCGCCGGUGAAGAUCAAUUUGGAUUAUUUUCAGAUUUAACAAGAUUGAUUGAUAUCCCUGACGAUGUUUCUAGUUUUCUUUUCCUUUCUCUUACUGGGUUUGUUAUUACUAGCUGAUUUUUAUCGCUGAAAUAGGUUAAUCUCUACACCUCUGCAAGACUGCAACAAACCCAGCAGCACCCUGAUAAGAAUUUCUCUAUUGGGUCUCCUUCUACACCCUGAUGACAACUUUCAACAUUUAAUUUGGUUUUGAUUGAUUUCAAUCCAAAACUUGCUGCGGAUUUCAAUCCCAAUUUUUGUUCGCCUCUUUUGGUCUCAUCAGAGGACGGAGGAGGAAGUUGAUUUCGGUGGGAGAAAAUUUUUUUUCGAUGAAGAAGCCAGUUCUGGGAUUGAUUCACGAGAAAUAAAGAGAAAAUAAAGAAAAAUACUUUUUCAAAAUUAAAAAUAAGAUUAGAGUUAACAGAGUUAUUGUGGUGUUAGGCUAGCGAUGAGAUGUCAAAUUUUAGUUGGUGGCACAGGGUUUUUGGGCAGAGGUGAUGUGCUUCCCCUUAAGAACUAAUUGGAAUAAAUCUUAGCAUCUUACGAGUAGUUAAGACUCAAGAGGCCAACAAAAGGCCAUUUUGCAUUUCUUCUGGGGCUUCUUCUGAAUUUACACCCUGCUCAUAUCCUAUAGAAUGUUCAUUUUGUAACAUUUCACAGUUGUUCACAUCAUCAUAAGUAGUAGUAGUAGUAGUAGUAGUAGUAGUUUAACCUGCUUCAAAUGAUGUUAAUAUAUUAUGCUUCAUUGAUUAAUGAUGUAAUCCAACUUCUAAGAGGUGAUUCUGCAUGCUGAGGUCCUCACUAGACUCGACAGCAAAAUUUGACAGCAAACCUGCAAAAUCAACCAAACCCCAUCAAAAUGUAGUCACUACGCAGAUAGGAAGUUACAUAAAUGUAAGAAUCACUGUGCCAUUACAGAAUCAAACAACCGGGAAACCCUUACCCCCCCCCCCCCCCCCCUUUUCCUAGUCUAGAAAAGCUCAGGUUUAUCUUCCUUUUGUCUGUACAUAAGUUGUGGCUCGUCUUAAAGAUAUUGAAAUGAUCCUCUCAGUAAUGGAGGUAAUCUAGAGCAUGACUCAUAUAUGAAGACCUUAAGGUUACAAUGUCAGGCCAGUUUAUCAUACUAUACCACAGUAAUUGAAAUGCCAACUCCAUGUCUCCCAAAGGAUACAAGGUUUAACACGCAUUGUGCAAUAAAAGAAGAAUAAUGACACCAGGAAAACCCAGCGCACAACUGCACAACUGAAGUUCCAACAUACCAUUCUAUAUUAGUCUAAUAUCUAGGAGAGCUAACUCACUCAAACUUCCUUUCAAAGAGCAGGACCUCUGAUACCAAAUUGUAUUACUAGUUUACCUUAUACGAGUUCUUCCUAAAUUAUCAAGCUAAGUGGCCCGGAGAAAAGUUUUAUCCAUUUUUGAGAUAUUAAUAUACCCAUAUGAUCAAAACCUUAAGUGUGAGUACUGAAAACCCAAGGCCAUCGCCAUGUCUCCAAUAGUAUCCAGCUUUAUCAUACAUCAGAUCUUGCACUGUUCAUUGUUAGAAUGAAUAUCUUUUUCAUGUCUGAAAUUAUAGAAGAAUCAUCUCACCAGUAAAACCUAGCAAGCACAGUUGAAGUUCGUUUAUACCAUUCUAUAUUAAUCUAAUAUCCAGUAGAACUAACAAAGAAACUCAAAUGUCACAAAGAACAGUAUAUGUGCUCUAGGAAGUUGCAUUCACUAGUUUACCUAAUUCGAGUUCUUCCUAAAUGACUAAGUCAAGUGUCGCAGGAAAAAAGUUUUAUUCUUAAAUAAAACCGGUAAUUACAACACCCACAUUGAUUGUAGUUAUGGCUGGAGUUCAGAAAUUUAGUGUAUUCCUGCUCAAGCGGCAGAUGGGCAAUGCAAGUUGAAUGUGAUAUGUUCACUGCUCUGUGCAUUUCAGCUUAUGUUAUUGUUGCCCAGCAUAAAGAUCUCACCUAAUUCAAACCUUACAAGCAGAUACCUCAUCUAAUUUCUCCAACAAAAGAUUUGAAUGCCAUAAUAUCAACUAAAGAACAAUGCAGCUCCGGAUCUACUUCAAGCAUACUUAUAUUCAGCUAACACUACAACUACUCGAUGCAAGAAUAGAAAUGCCGAAAAAUACAACCAUAUUAUCAAUGUAGUGUACCUGAAGCUUGAAGCUCAUCUCAAGACAGGCUUUUGCAGAAGAGCAGUCAAGUAAACCUCCCCAUUCUUCUCAUUCUUACUCGCCGUCGCCCACUUCACUCUCCGGUACCCCAACUUCCCAAUCAACGGCCCGAAAACCUUCUCAAGAUCCACCCCCUUGCUAAAGAAAUGAUCCAACCACAAGUACCCUCCUACCCUCAACACCCUAUCCGCAUCGUACAACAAAAACUCCAACGCCGUCACCGGAAUCCACCUGUUCACCGCGUGCCCGCACCGCACCAGAUCCAACACCCCGUCAAACACGGGGAACCGCUGCUGCAGCGGCACGUGCAGCGGCACCAGCCCCCUCAGCGCCACCGCCUCGUUAUUCGGACUGCCGAAAUUCAUGGUGGUGGUGACAACUGUCACAUUGUAGAGCUUCAUCCUGGCGGCGAAGGUCCCGGUGCCGCCGCCGACGUCCAGCCCGAGGCGGAGGACGGCGCCGGCGGCCUUGGCGAUCUGGAAGAACUGCGGGAUGGGGAGGUCCAGCUCGGACUUGUAGGUCAUGAAGUUGGAGAGCUCGUGGCUGAAGUCGAAGCCGGAGCUGAGGCCACGGCGGUUGAGGCAGCUGAAGCUUUUGCAGGCGUACUUGUCCCAUAUCACAUUCUGAUCCGGGAGAGAGGGAGGGAAAGCGUCGUGGGAGAGCGAUGACGUGGGCUUCUGCGGCGUUCUGGAGAAGCAUCUCCGGCGGGGGAGGGGGUGGCAGCCGCGGAGGAUGAGGCUCUCGGCGACGUCGUCGGCGUCGGCGGGGCAGAGGGAGAAGGGAGUGUAGGUCAUGUACUUGUUGAGGAGGUCGGGGUGGUUGUGGCAGGAGGAGGCGAUCGGGGAGAGGCGGGAGUAGAGGAGGAGGUCGGCGGAGGAGGCGGCGGCGGCGCGUGGGGGAGGAGGGUGGUGGCGCGUGAGGUGGUUGAUGGUGGCGCGUAUGGUUUGGAGCUGGCGGAGGAGGUGGUCGGGGACGGCGGUGUUGGGAGGGGUGGGGGAUUGGAUGGUGGAGGAGAGGUGGUAGAGGGAGAGGAUGUUGGUGGCGACCAUGGCCAUAAGCAGAAGCAAGUUAAGACCCAUUGUGAAACCCAUCUUUGGAAAAAUUGGGUUUCAGAUUUGGAAAGAUUUGAGCUUUUUUCUUGAAGUCAGUGAGCGUUUGACUUCAUAGUGAAGUAAGCAGCUUUAUUAUUACGGUGGAAGCAGUUGCAGAGCCCAGUUGGGGUUAGAUUUGUAAUUAGGAGGAAGUUUGGGGGUGGAAACUGGGAAGAGAGAGUUGCAUCACUUGCAUGGAUUUGGAUUUUGAUUUGGUUUCGUUUGUCAUUUCGUGGGGUUAGUUGGGUCAAAAGUGUGAAAAUAAUUAGAGUGGGAUGGACUGGAGGCACGUGACUUGUUGGACCCACUUGAACCUUUUUACCUUUUUUUUUUAUUAAAUGGGAUUAUUUUUUUUCAUGCAGAAUCUAUUCCAUGAUUUUAUAUUCCUGCCUUUCUGAUUCCAUGAUUAAGAGAAGCAUUUACUGUUUUCCGGGGACGGCUGUUCUUGAGUCCGACGAUGUGUUUAACUCCGGAACUAGAAAGAUGUGUUUUAAUCCGAGUCCUGUAUCUUGUAGCGAAUCCUGGUAACCACAUAAAGCAUUAGAGUGAUUGGUUUAUUUAUGAAUAUAUGUUACAUGGAGUUUAAUUGUCUUAAUUCAUACAGAUCAAUGAAGUCACACUAAACACGUCUUUAGAUUUUCUUACCAAAAUUUUAAAAUAAAAAGACAAGCUUUUAUGAAGCAAAGAACACCAAAGUUAUGAGUGAAGGAUAAUGAAGAGAACAAAAUCACAUAGAAGUGCAAACUAAGAGUUGAUCUUAAGUUUGGCUUUCAUAUAUUAUCAUCAAAUCAAGUGAGCGUACACUAUUGCUUUACGCGAUACUGUUUUUCAGUGAGCUAUGAUAUGUUAGUAAGUUAUAAAUCCAACAUAUCAUAAGUUGGAAUAUUCUCACUCAUACAUUUAAGUUGAGUGAGUGGUUAAGAGUUUUUUGAAGUGGUAAAAAUUAGCUUCUACCCUUUAAUUACAUAAGUGAUAUAUAUAUAGUUCCAUUCAAGACUAGGACACCGUUUUGAAAAUUAAAAUAUGGUGUUCUUCAUUUCGCUCAUUUUUAGGUCAUAUUUUCACAUCUUCACCGUUCAAUGUCUAGAACAUAGUGUGUAGAUCAUUCCUGUAAAAUUUCAUCCAAUCUAGAGAUCAUUUAGGUACCGAAUUAGAUUAAAUGAAUCAACUGAACAAAAUAUGUCCAAAAUCUCCAAAUUGGAUUACCCUAAACGUUUAUUAAGACUCUGGAAACAAAACUGGAUUGUGUUCUACUACUACGUGUAUAGCAAUGGGCCGAUAUAGGGACGAUACAACCUAAAUGGAACGAAUCCAAUGAACUGGGCUUUUUCGUUCUUGUUUUUCUAUACCAAAGCUUAUAUACACUUUCUGAGUGCUGCGUGCAACAGUACAAUCUGUAUAUAAAGAUCUCAGACUCCGCGUCCGACAAACGCAAACGCAAACACAAACACAAACUCAAACUCAAACUCAGCCGGACUUAGAUCUAUCUCUACUCACAACUUGAAUCAAUGGUAAAUUCUCUCCCUCACUUUCAGUUUUCCUUUUACUUCCCACUAGAUAAUUUUGCCAUACUUUGAAUUAGGGCUAUGAAUGUUUUUAACUUUUCAUAUUCAGAUUUCCACUAAUUAUAUAAAUUAUAGCUGGGUUUUAAUCAAUCUGUACUCUUUUAUGGUCUUCAAUAUGGAUUGGGAGCUGAAAUUGAGUAGGCUGAUAGUACCCAGAAGCUUUGCGGUCUUUUAUAUAGUUGUAGUUAUCUGGGUUAGCUAUGUUAUAUUGUUAUUGGGUUUUCUACUACCAGCCACAGAAAGUAAUCAACUUUGAGGAAUUACAAUCACUAGAGUUUGUGAAACAUGGUCUGAAAGAGUUAGGUAGUUAGUUCUAUACUUCUAUCCUCCAGUUCAGGCUCAUAAGUAAUGGGUUUGGAAUUGUGCAGGAGUUGGCUCAUGUAAUGAUAAGUGAAGUUAUGAACCUUUUGCAGUCUUGUAAUGCAAUUACGGUGCUUUAGAAAGCACACAGAACUGUAUGGUUUAGUUGUCUGGUUUGUCAAGCAAUGAACCAGUUCAUGUUCUCAACCAUGCCUGGCUAGAUAUCAAAGUUAACUUUUUCAAAUUGAUCGGAUAACCAGAAGCACUGCCUUCUUUCCCUUGUUUUUCUUGUAAGUCUAUACAUGUAAAUGAAUGGAAGUCAAAGACUAUAUGUUAUUUAUAGUUGGCAUAUUAUUUCAAUUAUGUGUUUUUUUUUAGUAUGAUUGGGUUUGUUAGCUAUUUGGUUUCCCUGUCAUUGGAUGUUCGUUCUUUAACUUUAUGAAUUCCGUUAUUAGGCUGAUCCCGAACUCGAAGCAAUCAGACAGAGGAGAAUGCAGGAGCUUAUGGCUCAACAAGGCGCUGUAAGUACAACUUAGUUUAUCUGAACAUCUGUGCUACAAAAAGAGGUUGUCUUCUUGGCGCUUUUGUGCUGACCUCACUACUUUAUAUUGAUAAGCAGGGAGGAGCCCGAGGGCAGCAAAAUACUGAACAGCAGAAGGCAAAUGAUGAUGCCAAGAGGUUGGGUUUUAAAUUAACUUUGGGUGUUACUUCUUUUUCUUUUGUUCUGAUAAUGUUCUUAAUAAUCUCAUAACAUAAGGCAAAUAAAUGUAGGGAGGCAGAAGAACGGAGACAGAUGAUGCUUAGUCAGAUUUUGUCAUCUGAAGCUCGUGAAAGACGUAAGUUGAUAUCUGAAAUUGGCAGUUGAUUUUCUAAUUAGUUUUACCCUGUAUUUUCCUUUAUUAGUCAUCUAUUAAGGACAAAACUAUUUCUGAUUUAAUAUGUUUGGAACUUUGGAUCACUGUUAUUGACUAGUAAAUAUAAUGUAGAUGUCUUGGAAGGAUAUUUAGUUUUUUCAAAACUAAGAAUGACGGAGAAGAUGCUAUCUUGAUAAGUUAAUCUGUGGCAACGAUCUGUUGCAGUUCAGUCAAAUGCAUAAUAAGUGCAAUUCAUAACUUGGCUAGGGUACUUAUACAUUAUCUUAUACGUAAUGCUAUGCAUUUGUAGUUGCUCGAAUUGCUUUGGUGAAACCUGAGAAGGCAAGAGGUGUUGAAGAUGUCAUAUUGAGAGCUGCUCAAAUGGGCCAAAUAGCUGAGAAGGUAUGGUUUAUGGUUCUCACAUCCUCAUCUGUCUUAUGGUGGCCCAUAGUUUUCUAUUUUUCUCGCACCAAAGCUUUCAUAAGAGCUCAUCUAUAGAAGAAACAAAGUGCUUAGAAUUCAAUUGUCAGGUCUCCGAAGAAAGGCUUAUUUCAUUGUUGGAACAGAUCAACAACCAAACAACCAAGCAGACCAAAGUCACUGUAAGUUUCAAUUCAUGACGACCUUCAUUUGUUUCCAUUUCCAUGAUAAGCGAUUCUGAUUUGGCCUUGUGUUGCUUUCCGUUUUCCAGAUUCAGAGGCGUAGGAGUGUUCUCGAAGAUGAUGAUUGAUUUGAAUUUGUGCGUUACAGUUGAAGACUUUGGCUGUAUAUUGAAACAUAAUGCACUUUGAAACAUAAUGCACUUGUUAUUGGGUUGUGAAAUAUUUUACUGUUCUUUCUUCAAUCUUGAUAUUCGUGAUAUGCUCUAAUACAAUAUUGUAUGGGAAGAAAUUUUUCACCAAUUAUUGUUUGAAGCCUUGUGAAUUUAAUUGAAAACUGGUCACUUGGAAUGGAAUAACAUUCUAAACUGAUUACUACCGACUCUCAACGCUUGAUUCUAGAUUUCAUUUUAUAUCAAAAGGUUUACCCUUAGUUGUGUUUUUGUGGCUUAGAUUUCAUUUUAUUAGAUUUCAGUCUAACAGGGAUACAUAACCCCUGAUAUUUGGUGCACAUUCAUGUCUGCGUCUGGUUGAUUGACUCUUAUUUUUUCGUGUUUGGUGUGAGACCAAAAGUCCAAAACUUCCGACAUAUGAUUCAUUAAACCAUGUUUCCUAAGAAAUAUAUAUCAGAGGAGGUAGUUUUUAUAAAAAUACAACAAUGAUGGAGAAAAAUUGAGAGAAGUUUAACUGAAGUUGAAGACAUCAAAAGGGUUAGCAACCUAAAUACUAAAAACAAAUGAGAGAAUAUACGUCAGCCUUAAGCACCAUUUGUAAGAAAGAAUAACCGUUAGAUGACACGAUCAGAAACUGAAGGCAACCAUUUGAUUGGAUAGGACAUGACACACGAGAUUUUUAUGAGGGAAAUCUGUAAAUUAUUUCACGAGUAAAACAAAUACAGUGUAAAAGAAACUAGGUAUUACAAGACUUUGAGAGAAAUCUUGAGUGAAGAGUUGGAAUCAAAAUCUUGUGUAAAGAUUUUGAAAUUCUGAGUAGAGAUUUUGAAUCGAAGAUUUGAGUAAAUACUGGAAUUUGAUAUGAGCACAAAGUGCUAUGUUUAUAAUGUAUUUCCUACCCUAUUUAGUUAUAAUAUUCUCAUAAUGUUAUUUCUAACAUGUUUUGUGAUUGUAGAGGCAAUGAAUCGAGAAAAAAAGGCUAAAUCGCGGAAAUAAGAGAAAAAUACAGAAAAAGGCAAAUAAGCCCUUCUUGCAGUCCAAGGAAGGAAGGAGAAGUAAAUUUGGAUUCUAAUUCCAAAGAAUGAAGGAGAAGUAAGUUUGGAUAAAAGAAAAGAGAAAAGUCAAACAUGUGCACCUAGUCCCACAUUAUUUUGGAAGAAGAAAUAAAUUUGGAUUUGUCACACCCCGGUCCCGACGUCGACGGGUUUUAAGCACUAGACGUCGAUCCUGAGGCGUGAACGAGUGUUACAAAGCGAAAUGUAAACAAAAGUACUAUCUUCUAAACUCGUCGUCUACCCUUUUCCCGGCUUGGUACAACCUAAGUACUUUUUCUGCAAAAAAUAUUAGAAAUGGAUGGGUGAGCAAAACCACGCGCUCAGUGAGUAGACCAAUGUAAUAUGCCCGCAAAGCCAUGUCAUUUUACACACGCUACAAAAUACGUAUAUCGUAUACACAUCACUUCACACAAUUCAUCACAUCGCACAAUCCCUUCUUAUUGGAUAUCCUUCAAUUUAGUGAUCCCCAUGGGAACCUAAUGACCUUCAAGUCUUAUACCUCCGUGUGUCACAUCCUUACUUCGGCAUAACCAAUCAAGAAGUUCACAUGUUCCAUGACUAAUCAAACAAUGGAUCCAACACAUAAUUAUAUAUAAACACUGCAUAUUUUGCAAAUAGACAUGGUUCACUUGAAAUAGAGAGAUAUUUCGUAAAUAGAUCAAAAUCAUGUUUUUCGACUAUUGUGAUAACAAAUAAGAAUAUUUUAAAUAUAUUACACAAAUCCACUCACCUCGUCAACACGAAUCCCUACCAAGAACAUCGAUUGUAAACCGAGCCUCCUAAAAUGAGUCAUCUAGAAAUCACCGUUGGAUCUAGCUCAAAAUUCUAGGAUAGAAAGAGGACAUCGAUACGUACCCGUAGCAUCUCGCGAAUUCAGAAUCGGAGUUAUGGAUCAAAAAUUAUAAUCCGCCAAAGUUUAGUCGCAAAUCUAGAGAGAGAAACUAAUUAAAGANNNNNNNNNNNNNNNNNNNNNNNNNNNNNNNNNNNNNNNNNNNNNNNNNNNNNNNNNNNNNNNNNGAGAGAGAGAGAGAGCGUCAGAAUUGAGACUUUUUUUUUUAGAGAAUUAUUUAUUAAGACUUGAGAGAGAAAAUUGGGGAAAAAUUAAGAGAUAUAGAGAGAGCGUACGUAUGUAUUCUGUCUUUCUUUUUGUUAUUUUAUACGCGUCACACGUAUUUUUAACGUGACGCACUUCCAGCUAUAUUAUUUGCAUUUUCUAUUAUGCCCCUACUUAUUAGUAUCUUUAUAAAACAAAACAAAAAAUAUUAAUAAAGGGUAAAACUGGUAUUAUCUGAAAACUGAAAAUAACUAUCCUCAUUUCCUAUUUCAUUUUUUUCUACCAUAUGCUCUCAAAUCUAUCGCUCUGCCAUAAGUUCUUAAAUCAAUCUUUUUGCCUGAAAAUCAAAUUUAAAAAGAUUCUCAUAAACCCUAAAUCAUGUACUUAUAUAAUUGCACCCCCGAAAAAGGUUCAAAUUUAGACCUAGUCUUGAAUCUCUGUAGCCUAACUCUUUCUUUUGUCUUUGUUAAUCGACAUCAUCAUGAUUUCGAGUUCGAAAUCGAAGCCUCAAUUAAGUAACGAGGCAUUCAAUGUAAACAUUAUUAGGCUAUUAAGUAUAACAUAUCAUCUUGCUUUAAAGGAUUCCAAUCGGAAGUGGUAGAGAACAGUUUCAUUCAGCUUGUUUUCACUUCUGCUUAUUUCAUUAUGUGUUUACACACGUUACCUUCAGUUUUUAGUCAAGUACCAAAAACCAAGAGCUUUUCCUUUCCUUAGAGGAAUCAAAAGCAACCACAAAAUUAAAUAACAAUGAUAUAAAGAGCUCAUAGCAUAUGAUCCAGCUGAUAAACCAGUUGAGAUCUACAACAUGAAUUAAGAGAGCAAAAUCGUGUGACCGUAUCAACAUCGAAACAACUUAAAGUCCACUGCAGUGGCACAGAAAUCAUUUGAGAAGGGUUCUGGUUAAAUGUUCUCUUGCAACAGCCCAUGCUUGAGUUAUAGUCUGCAAAGUUUGAAAAUUAGGAAAGCAGGAUUAGAUUAGUUUCUACUUUCUACCGCAUUUUAAUUGAAAACACUUUUGAGUAUCUGAAAUCCCUAUUAGCAGUACCUAGAAGCCCCUUAAUCUAUUUGGUUUCAACUAAGCAAACGGAAAGUUUUGCAUUACCUGCUCAGCCAAUGGUGCAUCAGCAUCCAUGGUAUGAGUUGCCACCUUUCCUGCGAUAAUAGUUGGAUCUGUUUCAAGUAUCAUCCUGCAAUAUAAGUCAAGCACAUGAGAUCGAUGUAUAAUCAUAUACUCGAUGACAGAACUAAGAUCAAGAAUCUUAUUGCACACCCUCCAUCAACAAUCUCAUCAAAGCACAGAAGUAUGAGAUCUAGGUUCUCCAGUGCCUCCCUUUUAUCAACAUUGUUCCUGCAAGUAGGACAAGCAUGAAUAUAUAGCACAAAAGGUCCAAGAUAAAUAAUGUUGAAAGGUAAAAGGAGUUCAAGGAAAAUGUUAUGACGUCCAAGUCUACCUCAAGAGAAGGGCAACUGCAUCAAAGAAUCCCUGAAGGACAGUGGCUAAAAUGAGUUCGUUUUCAUCGUCACUUCCAGUCACAAAGAAGUGAAGGUCCUGCAUAAACCUAUAUACAACAACGUUGCUUUCGAACAUCAUUAUCUCCGCUGCAUAAGAUAUACAAUAGCAAAUUGUAAAUUAAGGUACUACAAAUGUGGUGAUAUAACAUGACUUCCUGUAGCAUAUCGACAACAUGACUUGAAUGAAAUCAUUGUUUUCAUACAUUCAAUCCUUGCAUUUGUCUUAAGAGUCUUAGUGAACACAGAUUUUUCAAAAACUAGCUUUGCACCAUUUGUUGGCCAAUCAUCCGAGUAAUACUUGACCGCCACACGCUUCCCUUCAGAGUCCAUAAGAAGAAUGUUCUUCACAGAUGGGCGUGAAUCCUGGAAAAUAUAUAAAGGUGGAUCAGAACAGCAUGCAUAAAGAUCACUCAAUACAAAUUCAUACGCAGUUAGCCUAUAGCUAAUGAAUUCAUACUUUCAUCCAUAAAAAUCAUAUUGUGCCAAAAGUCUGUCUAAUCUAACUAAGGUUCUAAUAAUAGAUCCUGACUAUAUCCUUGGAUCUUAAAAUCUGAUUGAACAUCAGUUACAAUUGGCCAAAUCAACAUAAUUUGUUAAUAACUUAAUACACAUCAGUUGGUGACUUCAGCCUUCAGGUAUCAAUUUUCAAGCGUAAAAAAGAUCUAUAAUUCAAACUUGAUCGUUUUGCUCGUAAUCAGAGGAACUUCAAAGAUCUAUUGACGUGAGCUCAAAAUGAUCACAUCUUAUUUCCCAAUCAAUUAUACUAAACAAAUCGAUAGAGGUAAUAUGGAUUGGAAAAUGAGACUUACACGGUAACCGAAGAUACACUCCAUUUUGAUGUAAUGAUGAUACCUGAGACUUGGACACUUCGGUUCAGAUAUAUAUACCUUUUUCUUUAGAGGAAUGGAGAUGGGUAGUUUUGUCAGUUUAUUUAACUUUCUUCUACUGCUUUCCAGGAAAAAAAAUAAUUUUGCGUCUUGAUUUAUGUUUCAAAAAAAAAAUAAUCAAAAGUACGCAGUCCUGACUGUCUGAGAUAAUACAUACAAUUAAGAUUAUUCUUCUAUUUUACAUCUUCUUUAAUCUUGAUAGAUUCAUGUAUGUACUAUAAAUUUAUAUACAAUCUUGAUAGAUUUACUCUUCUUAUACCAUAGAUUUAAAAAGGAAGAAGAAUGAUGUCAUAUGUGGUGAACGGAAAGCCUUGGUUUUUUGGACACUAUGUCUGUAAUGGCGAAUGUUUGUAUGACUGUCUGUAAUGACGAAUGUUUGUAUGACCCGGCUAGCGAGUGUACCGAUCUCAACAUUCAUUGAAUAGGUUGAGAUAUUCCGAUUACCAUGACUAGAUAUACGAUGACGAUGGAUGGUUGGGGAAACUCUUGGUUAGGUGGAGCAGUUGGAUGAGAAUGAGAUUAAAUAAGACACCAGAGCUAAGGUCAGACUGAAUGGGAUGAUCCACCCUGACACCUAUUAAGUUGUUUUGCAUGAUUCCUUUACCAUGAUUAAGAUGGUGGAUUAUACUCUUAUCGUUGCCUUUUUUUUAAUAACUUUUUUUAAUAACUGACCUCAUUAUCUCAUAUUCAUAUAUCGAUUACAUGACUUGCAGCUCUAUUGCUAAUCUAAUUUCAUGUUCCUUCAAGAUAACAAAAUAUCUUCAAUAGUCAAUACACGACAUUGCCGUGUAUCUACAACAAACGAAAAAAAUAUGAAAAACUUGACCAUCAACGACAAACGAAAAAAAUAUGAAAAACUUGACCAUAUCGUAUGGGAAGUUGCAAAUAAGAAAAAAUUUCGAUACCUCACGGUCAUGACGUAUAUAUAUUUUGACGAAGUGAUUAACCUCCCAGGUUCCAAAGUCGCGCGUGAUCGUAGCCUCCUCCUCUGAACUAGCCGAAUCUCCUGACUACACUCACAUCUCAACCUUUUCCUUUCCUUAAACUCCCACAACCUUUGUACCUCUCCAAAUCUCUUCUCCACUUUUGCUUUUUUGCUUUGUCUCUUCUCCCCACUUCCCAACCAAACCAAUCACAUUUCCUCUCUCAAAGAUCACACCUUUCCCCCUAAAGUUUCAAUCUUUCACUUUUUCCGGCGACACCCAACUCCCCGGAACCACUUUCCGGCCGACCCAGAAUGGACAAAGAGCCUCUACUCCCCUACACAUCAAGCCCACGAAGAAAGCUCCCAUCUUUAACCACCCUCUGGCCUUUGCCGGAACACGACGAAGUCCCCGUCCCCUUAACCCCGUUGGAGUUUAAAGACCGCAUCAUCUUCGGCUCCCCCGCCGCCGCCACCGCCACUUCUUCUUCGCCGCAUGACUCGUCUCCUCUGGUCGACGCCCUCACUCUCUCUCUCAAUUCUCCAAGACUCUCUUCGAGGCCCACAUCCUCGUCUUCUCUACUGGACCCCACCACCGCGCCGCAGCCGCAGGGGGACCCACAAACGCCGCUGAGCUGGCUGAUCGACCCGAACUACUCAUGGACCAAGACCAACCUCCACAGGUCCAAGACGGCUCCGGCAAUGGCGGUUUUGAACGAGGUGAACCGCCGGGCCGGGCCUAAGCCUCAGAUGAGUUCACAGUCUAUUGUGAGGCAAGCUGUGAUUCUUCUUAUUGCGUAUUUGACAUUAGGGGUGACUAUAUAUUGGUUUAACCGUGAUAAUUUCGAAGCGAGUGAGACUCACCCUGUUGUGGAUGCUCUGUAUUUUUGCAUUGUGACAAUGUGCACUAUUGGGUAUGGGGAUAUCACACCCAAGACUACGGCUACCAAGCUGUUUUCAAUAAUGUUUGUGUUGGUGGGGUUCGGGUUUAUUGAUAUAUUGCUUAGUGGGAUGGUGUCAUAUGUGCUUGAUUUGCAGGAGGGUUAUUUGCUGAGGAGUGUGAAGGGUGUGGGGGAGAAGAAGGAGUCGUAUAUUAUUGAUGUGAAGAAGGGGAGGAUGAGGAUUCGGAUGAAGGUGGGACUGGCAUUGGGGGUUGUGGUGCUUUGUAUUGGUGUUGGUGCUAUGGUGAUGCAUUAUGUGGAGAAGUUAGGAUGGUUGGAUUCGUUUUAUCUCUCGGUUAUGUCUGUAACGACUGUGGGGUAUGGUGACCGGGCUUUUCAGUCUGUGCAGGGUCGGUUGUUUGCUUCAGUUUGGUUGCUUGUGUCCACACUCACGGUUGCUAGAGCCUUUUUGUAUUUGGCUGAGGCAAGGGUGGAUAAACGGCAUAGGAGGAUGGCAAAGUGGGUUCUUGGCCAGGAUAUGACUGUUUCCGAGUUCCUUGCUGCUGACAUUGACAAUAAUGGGUUUGUGAGGUAUGUGUUUUUACCAAACCUUUUGACAUUUUGAUCAGAUGAGUUGUUUGAGAUUGUUGGCUUUGUUUAAUUGACCUACAAUGAUGAUGGUGUAAAAGUUAUUUACUUCAUAGAUUGCAUUGUUUUGCUCUGAAUUCUUUAUGUGCUGUUUAGUUGUACUGCAUUUACCCAUUACUUUAGGUUUUGUAUGAAAGAAACAUGAAUACAUGUUAAGCAACUUGUAAUACAUUUUCUGCUUUGUUAGAAACACAGAUGAUCACUCCUUUCUCUAGUUAUCAAGUAUGAGAUUGAGUGAAGAGCCCUUUUUGUAAUAUAACUGCCCAGAAUUAGAUAGUUUAUUUUACAUUUUCCAACUUCUAUAAGUUCAACUUUGUGGUUUGUACUCAUAUGAUGCCGAAUAAGACAUCAGUUAUUAGAUUGUGUUCAAAGUGUUUCAGGGUUGGUGUGUCUUCUCAUUUCUUGGUACGUGUAUGUGUGAUAUGAAGGAGACCAAUGAAGUCAUUAAGGUGGAAUAAAACAGAUAAGAAUCAUAAGAUACUUUAGGUGAGUCUUUAUCAUAGCAUCCCCAUAAGCACAAUAGUCGCUUCUUUGGGAUUUGAGCAAGUCUUAAUAACAUAAUGCCACCACAAGUGAUACAAUACGUAUAGGACUCUGAGCACGAAAUUCAUCAUAGUGAAAUUUGAUUAGGGUGUCUCUGAUAAGAAUUGGCUAUAUGUUUUUCUCUUAUAAAUGAUACACAUUUGAUAGUGGGUAUCAACUCCGGAUGCGUAUGCUUUGGUAUCUUUCUGCCCUUUUGAGUUUGAUGUCAGGUUGGUAAUGGGCAUAGUCUAGUAAUGUUCAGUUUUGCUUGUGUAUUGAACAUCAGAGUCUGUACGUUCUCCACUUUGAGAAAAUUGUUUGGUUUCUCAUGUGAAGAGAAACAUUGUGGACAAGUCUGCAAAUAAUUUUGGAUGCCACAAAGUCAGGGCCUUGUGUCUAAGUCCAACUGAUCUGGGACAUAUGAACACUUGGUAGCAUAUGAAAUCUAUCAUUGCCAUUAUUGCAUAAUAGGCCCUGAGAACAGAGUAUAUGAUCUGAAUUGCAUCUUUACUUCAGAGCUGUCUUUUGCCCACCUUUUCAACUAAAGAACAUAUCUACGAACCUCCUGCCCUUUCUUGUGUUUGGAACUCAUGUUGCACAUAUCUCUCGUGUUCUUUAUGGACAAAAUGAUUACUCCUGCUCUUCUUUUUUGCAAUGUAAGCACUACUACUUUCCUGAUUCUUUUCCUCUAUUUAGAGGCUCCAAAGACAAAUUCAGUCAAUGAACUUAUUCUGUACAUGGUUGGCUCUUAGUAGAUGUGGCCAAAGGUCAAAUACAAAUUGUGAAGCCUUAUUGAACAUCCAGCACUGCCAACUUGGGUGUAUAGGCUAGAACUACUAUUGUAUUGCGCCUUUCUUCUUCUCCUAAUUAGUAGUUACUCAUAUUAUUUUGCAUGUUCUUGAGCUCAGUAAUCUGAUUUGGUGUUUUAUAUGAAGUACCUAUUAUAACAAUAGUUUGGAUGACAGGUUGAAAGAGGUACCAACUUACUAUUUUUCUGAAACCAGAGUUCUUAUUUGACUGCCCAACUUCAUAAACUUUUGAACCAUCAUACGUGAGUAGUUUAUGUGCGUUUCAGAUAUUAUAAUGUAAAAGUGAAGCUUGUUGGUUGCUAUUAACCAAUAGUUGAAGAGUCUUUUUCAGUCUGAAUAGUGUAUCUGAAUAAUCUGGAGUCAACAGAUUGCAGAAGAUGGGGAUUAUUUUCAGAUAACAUGCAUAUAAUCUGCUUCUUUGAACAUGCCUUAAUACGUUUUAACAUUUCCAUUAUCUGUCUAUACCAUUAUUUUCUACAGAAGUAUUCCAUACAUAUUGGAAUGCAAAGGUUUUGCUUUAGAUUUCUUGCGCAUAAAUGUGACAUAUUUUUUUUUAACUAAGAUCUAUAUGGAAUGUCUAUAUUGGUAAACUGUCUAUGAGUUGCAACUAAUAUAUUGAUCAUUUAUAGUUAUUAUUUGUGUAUGCUCUUAGCAGUCAACCUUUUGCCAUUAGUGACCAUGAUGUAUUCUAGAAAACUGGAGAUGAACCCUGCUUAUGAUAUUCUCAGUGCUACCGUACUAGGCAAUAACGUGGUUUCAACCAUUGUUUUCUUGUUGUCAUGAUUUAGUUAUGUUAUCUAGCACACCAUGAUAGCUUAACAUGGUGUGCUAGUUUCCUUGGCUGACUUUAUUUGUGUGUAUAUAUAAAUAAAUAAAUAAUUAAAUAAAUCUACGUCUUGUUGGACUGUCUUUGCUUUGUCUUCAGCACCUUAAAUUAUUUGCUUGCUUAUUUUGACUUGCAGUGAUCCGCAACUAGGCAAGUUUUUGUUGGCUAAUGAUGUUGUUCACUUGUUUGUAUAUGCAGCAAGUCAGAAUAUGUGAUAUACAAACUCAAGGAGAUGGGAAAGGUAUCAGAGAAAGAUAUUAUGCAGAUCUCCAACAAAUUUGAUAGGUUAGACUCUGGGAACUGCGGAAAGAUAACGCUUGCCGAUCUUAUGAGUCGUCAUUGAUAUCCAAGCACCUUUUAUUCCUUUUCCUCAUGGUACAGCAAGGGAAGAAAAUACGUUAUCUCAUUGAACAUGACGUAUAAGAAGCCUGAUCUUUAUGUAGGACUCGCCGUUCAUAUACAAGUUGCAUACACAUGAAAUCAUGAAGUAUGAACUCUGCUGCCUGAUCAAUUGGUCCUCCUUUCUAUACAUCCUGAGCAUCAGCUUGGUCGUUCUUAUAUGAUCAGCUACAUCGAUGCAUUUCUUGAGUAAUACAAACAAGCUAACAACAAAGGUUAUUGCAUAUUCCAGAAUUGCUCAAGUGACGGGAGAAGUGAAACAGAAAAUUGAAAUCACUUUUUUGAGUCUAGACAGAAAAUAACUGUUGACAUAGACUGGCUGUCCUUGUUUUUCUUGGAGAAUUUUGAAGAUUAAUAGCUUAGAAAUCAACAGUAUGUUACUUUUGAUUAGAGUUGAGCCUGUCCUUCUGGCUUCCAAUUGUAAAUGAUUGCAGCUUUGGAUCAAUGAAGGUGAGGCCUUGAAUCAGCACUACUAACAAACCACAAGAUUUGUUUUUAAGUUGGUUGAAUAGCUUGAGAAGGGUGAAACAAUUUUACAAAUUGGAAAUUAUCGCAGUGUGUGACUGUUUGAUUUGGAUAUGGGUUCCUGAAGUCUCCUCUAUCUUUUGGUUUAUUGGUGGGGGAGAAAAUGAAAUGCACUCAUCAUAUUUGAUCAUAAUGAACCCAAAAGGUGCGAGUGUGUAACUACCUCAACUCCUGGUUUACCACUUUCUGUCCCUACUGUCUCAUAUGUUUGGUAUGACAGAAACCCUAAUCUUAUAGUAGAAGAAGAUGAAAGGUAGUCAGCCUUGGUGACCAUGUUGGUAUCAAAAGCUUGAUGAUCAAACCAAUGCCAUUCAUAAUCUAUUGCGACUUUUAUGGUAAAAUUGAAUUGAAAGUAGACUAACUACCUAUAUAUAUUGCUUUAUUCUUGUCCUCUACAAAAGUUCCUUUCAGAAGUGUUGAACAGGACCUUUGUUGUUACUAGAAGAACCUUUCCUUGAAGCUUUCUAUAGCAAUGCACAGAAAGCUAGUUCAUACCUCUAAUAGAGUAAUAACAAGACGAACAAUUAGACUGUCUAUUGGAUUCUAAUGAUGAAGUAGACUCUCCUCAGUGUUCUUGAUCUUGAUCUUGACUGGGAAGCAAAGACUGUGUCCUUUGAAUUCAUAGCGUUUACCCAUAAAGGAGAACAAAAACUUGAAAGAAUGCAAACUAAACUAAAAUAUACCAAGUCAGAUUGACUCACUGCCACUCAUGACAAGCAGAUGACUCCAUCAAAGAAGCAAUAAGUUUCUGAUUUGGUAAAUAAAGGUCAUUUGCUUCAUUUUUUAUUCACCAGUUAGUGAAAUGGUGGGGGUAUUUGCAUUAGAGAAUUCAAGUUGGAGAUUAUUAGUUUAAAGGAAAGCAGCAGUAGUUGUUAGAACCAGUCGUGGAGGUUUUUGACUUGUUCAGGAAUCAAUCCACAAGGGUCCUUUCACAUUUGAGGAAGAGGUUGG
rnacentral:lncRNA from 1 species